rnacentral:rRNA from 1 species
AGUGAACGCUGGCGGUAGGCCUAACACAUGCAAGUCGAACGGCAGCACAGUAAGAGCUCGCUCUUACGGGUGGCGAGUGGCGGACGGGUGAGGAAUACAUCGGAAUCUACUUUUUCGUGGGGGAUAACGUAGGGAAACUUACGCUAAUACCGCAUACGACCUACGGGUGAAAGCAGGGGAUCUUCGGACCUUGCGCGAUUGGAUGAGCCGAUGUCGGAUUAGCUAGUUGGCGGGGUAAAGGCCCACCAAGGCGACGAUCCGUAGCUGGUCUGAGAGGAUGAUCAGCCACACUGGAACUGAGACACGGUCCAGACUCCUACGGGAGGCAGCAGUGGGGAAUAUUGGACAAUGGGCGCAAGCCUGAUCCAGCCAUACCGCGUGGGUGAAGAAGGCCUUCGGGUUGUAAAGCCCUUUUGUUGGGAAAGAAAAGCAGCAGGUUAAUACCCCGCUGUUCUGACGGUACCCAAAGAAUAAGCACCGGCUAACUUCGUG